UACAGAGGUCCCGAGCGUUGUUCGGAUUCACUGGGCGUAAAGGGUGCGUAGGCGGGCCUUUAAGUCAGGGGUGAAAUCCUGGAGCUCAACUCCAGAACUGCCUUUGAUACUGAAGAUCUUGAGUUCGGGAGAGGUGAGUGGAACUGCGAGUGUAGAGGUGAAAUUCGUAGAUAUUCGCAAGAACACCAGUGGCGAAGGCGGCUCACUGGCCCGAUACUGACGCUGAGGCACGAAAGCGUGGGGAGCAAACAGG
rnacentral:rRNA from 1 species